rnacentral:rRNA from 1 species
CUGCUGCCUUCCGUAGGAGUUUGGGCCGUGUCUCAGUCCCAAUGUGGCCGAUCAACCUCUCAGUUCGGCUACGCAUCAUUGCCUUGGUAAGCCUUUACCCCACCAACUAGCUAAUGCGUCGCGGGCCCAUCCAAAAGCGGUAGCAUAGCCACCUUUUACAUAGUUACCAUGCGGUAACUACGGUUAUGCGGUAUUAGCACCUGUUUCCAAGUGUUAUCCCCCUCUUUUGGGCAGGUUGCCCACGUGUUACUCACCCGUUCGCCACU